rnacentral:rRNA from 1 species
AGUGAACGCUGGCGGUAGGCCUAACACAUGCAAGUCGAACGGCAGCACAGUAAGAGCUUGCUCUUACGGGUGGCGAGUGGCGGACGGGUGAGGAAUACAUCGGAAUCUACUUUUUCGUGGGGGAUAACGUAGGUAAACUUACGCUAAUACCGCAUACGACCUACGGGUGAAAGCAGGGGAUCUUCGGACCUUGCGCGAUUGAAUGAGCCGAUGUCGGAUUAGCUAGUUGGCGGGGUAAAUGCCCACCAAGGCGACGAUCCGUAGCUGGUCUGAGAGGAUGAUCAGCCACACUGGAACUGAGCCACGGUCCAGACUCCUACGGGAGGCAGCAGUGGGGAAUAUUGGACAAUGGGCGCAAGCCUGAUCCAGCCAUACCGCGUGGGUGAAGAAGGCCUUCGGGUUGUAAAGCCCUUUUGUUGGGAAAGAAAAGCAGCAGGUUAAUACCCCGCUGUUCUGACGGUACCCAAAGAAUAAGCACCGGCUAACUUCGUG